GGGGGUGUAGCUCAGUGGGAGAGCACCUGCUUUGCAAGCAGGGGGCCGCAGGUUCGAUCCCUGUCAUCUCCACCA
rnacentral:tRNA from 1 species